UACGGGGGGGGCAAGCGUUGUUCGGAAUUACUGGGCGUAAAGGGCUCGUAGGCGGCCAACUAAGUCGGACGUGAAAUCCCUCGGCUUAACCGGGGAACUGCGUCCGAUACUGGAUGGCUCGAGUUUGGGAGAGGGAUGCGGAAUUCCAGGUGUAGCGGUGAAAUGCGUAGAUAUCUGGAGGAACACCGGUGGCGAAGGCGGCUUCUUGGGCCGUUUCUGACGCUGAUGCGCGAAAGCCAGGGGAGCGAACAGG
rnacentral:rRNA from 1 species